rfam:Serratia odorifera DSM 4582 genomic scaffold SCAFFOLD1, whole genome shotgun sequence.
UAGGACGGUCCACCGACGCAUAACGUUGUACUCAUAAUAUAGUGUCGAAAUAACCUUGAAAAUUUGAGGGAUGACCUCAUUUAAUCUCCAGUAGCAAUUUUGUCCUAUAUUGGAGGUGUUAUGCGUCUGGAUCGUCUUAC